GAGCUGACCCCAAGGCCAAGACCCAAUGGUGCCUCUUCCGUCUAGACCCAUGUUGGGUCUCCAUCAUUUCACCCAUCUCUCACUGCAUGGAGCUCACUCCAUGGCCUUUCAUUAUUAUAGGACCCAUCCACCAAUCCCUGUCUCUCCUGGGUGUUGAGCACUUAAGUGUAUCCUUUAGAUGGUGAAGCAAGUAAAAAUGAUCUCUCUAGCAAACUCAUCCUCUUCAGAGCAGACAUGAACCUCUCAGGGAGUGCACUCCUGCUCCUGCAUAAGUAGGAGCUCUUCGGAUGAUGUGGAGACUUCAGAAAAACCUGUGUAGAAGCUGCUUGAGCCACAGUAAUGUGACAGCAUUCCAGGCAAUUUUAUUGGAGGACCUCUUUCUCAGGAAAGAAGAAUACCCGAAUCCUUUAAUAAAGUUUCAACAAUGUGCAAAGUA